UGUGUGGAGGGGACAGGGCAAAGAAUCUACUUACCACGACAUGUUAUGUUAAUAAACUGGGCAGAGGAGGGUCUGGACACAGCACAAGGAGUGUUUACUAUGAACAGAGCGGGUUUCAGUUCAGAGGCUAAAGGUCCAAUGCUCUGUUCAUACACAUCCCAUUUUGUUCUCCCAGCCAUCCCCACCCCCCCUCCCCCGCUCCGAAAACAAAAUAAAUAAACAAAACCAAAAACAAAAGCAAUGCCCAAUCUGAAAAAGUGAAGCCAUGCUGGUCAAAAUCCACACCUUUGUAAGCUCUGCCUACACAGUGCUUGAGGAAUCCAACAAAUCCUGACCGGUAGUAAACCAGAGAGCGGACAGUGGUUCACAAUUAAGAAUAUACCCUGCGUCGGUGAUACAAAGGAAAUCAUGCCCCGCUACUUUGUCCUCUCCUGGCUCACAAAAGAAGUUACCUCAACACAGAAGCCCAGGUCCCAUCCUGCGGCACCGCUAAGCCAAGCAAAAGAGAAGGAGUGUUGAGGAUGUUCCAUUUCAGCGGUCAUAAAAGGGAGAGAGCGAAAGGAGAGGAAACCACUCGUUUCAUUUCUAAACAGCCACACACACAGUUCACUGCAGUCGAGUUUAAAUUGUAUUUUUUGCUGUGUACUUAACUCUAUUACUCAUGAAGCUUCUAGAAGUAAGGCCACGUUCUUCUCUCUGGAGGCCUUAGCCACUCCCCUGCCAGGCUGCUCUGAGUUAACUUGGUAUCAUCCAAACAGAGCAAGAAGGAACCAGCCGAGUUCAGGAAGGAUCCCGCCCGACUUUCAGAGCAGCUGCCUGGUGGACUCUGAAUCUUCAAGACGGGUAAUAUUUAAAGAUGCCCCCCAAUUCACCAGAAGACAUCUGACGCCAAGUAACAGUCAUUUACUUGGAAGACCUCAAAAAGCUCUCCUGAAAAAAAUGUACCAUUGUUUGUCUGCUGAAAAAAUACUUAAAAGUUUGACUGCAGCAGUAAUAUAAUCAACCAAACUCAAAGGAAAACCAGGCCGGGCUGGUCACCACUUAAAGCAACAGGCUGUCUUGCCACCUUUGACCCUAGUGCAAAGCUGCGUCUGGCACAAAGUAGGAUCAUAAACACUGAACAAAUGAAUGGAUGAAGGAGUGAACGAACAGUUGCUGGAUUUGUCCCCUGUUCCGAAAUCUACGAAGCACACUGAUAACUAGGCCAUCCACUGUCUCUACUACCUCCGAUACAAAACCAGUGUUGGAGGCAAGAAUUCUCGGUGUCUGAUAACUUGCCCAUGUCGUCAGUUUCUCAAGGUCAGGAAGUAUGUCUUACAUCAAAUGUUCCCAAUGGGUACAACUCCAAAGGGUGGCGGUGUGCCAAGAUAUUCAGCGCCUAAGCCCACAGGACUGAUGUAGCAGGAACUCCCUAACAGAUGAUUUUUGUUUCAAUAUUAUGUUUUCUAUGUGUGUCAUGAUAUGAAACAGGUUGAGAAGCUUUGCCCUACAUUUCUGUAUCACUGUGCCUCACCCAGGAUCUGAAAGGUAGAAAGCACAAGCGUUUGCUGAAGCAAUGAAUAAAUAAACGC